AGAGUUUGAUCCUGGCUCAGGAUGAACGCUGACAGAAUGCUUAACACAUGCAAGUCUACUUGAAUUCUCUUCGGAGAUAGUAAGGUGGCGGACGGGUGAGUAACACGUAAAGAACUUGCCCUGCAGUCUGGGACAACUAUUGGAAACGAUAGCUAAUACCGGAUAUUAUGCGAGAGCCGCAUGGCUCUUUCAUGAAAGCUGUAUGCGCUGCAGGAGAGCUUUGCGUCCCAUUAGUUAGUUGGUGAGGUAACGGCUCACCAAGACCGCGAUGGGUAGCCGGCCUGAGAGGGUGAACGGCCACAAGGGGACUGAGACACGGCCCUUACUCCUACGGGAGGCAGCAGUGGGGAAUAUUGGACAAUGGACCAAAAGUCUGAUCCAGCAAUUCUGUGUGCACGAUGACGGUCUUAGGAUUGUAAAGUGCUUUCAAUCGGGAAAAAGAAAGUGAUGGUACCGAUAGAAGAAGCGACGGCUAAAUACGUGCCAGCAGCCGCGGUAAUACGUAUGUCGCAAGCGUUAUCCGGAUUUAUUGGGCGUAAAGCGCGUCUAGGCGGUCUGGUAAGUCUGAUGUGGAAAUGCGGGGCUCAACUCCGUAUUGCGUUGGAAACUGCCAGACUAGAGUACUGGAGAGGUGGGCGGAACUACAAGUGUAGAGGUGAAAUUCGUAGAUAUUUGUAGGAAUGCCGAUAGAGAAGUCAGCUCACUGGACAGAUACUGACGCUGAAGCGCGAAAGCAUGGGGAGCAAACAGGAUUAGAUACCCUGGUAGUCCAUGCCGUAAACGAUGAUUACUAAGCGUCGGGGGUCGAACCUCGGCACUCAAGCUAACGCGAUAAGUAAUCCGCCUGGGGAGUACGUACGCAAGUAUGAAACUCAAAGGAAUUGACGGGGACCCGCACAAGUGGUGGAGCAUGUGGUUUAAUUCGACGCAACGCGAGGAACCUUACCAGCGUUU
rnacentral:rRNA from 1 species